rnacentral:rRNA from 1 species
AUGGCGACCGGCGCACGGGUGAGUAACACGUAUCCAACCUGCCUCAUACUCGGGGAUAGCCUUUCGAAAGAAAGAUUAAUACCCGAUGUUAUAGUCCUACCGCAUGAUGGGAUUAUUAAAGAAUUUCGGUAUGGGAUGGGGAUGCGUUCCAUUAGCUUGUUGGCGGGGUAACGGCCCACCAAGGCAUCGAUGGAUAGGGGUUCUGAGAGGAAGGUCCCCCACAUUGGAACUGAGACACGGUCCAAACUCCUACGGGAGGCAGCAG